GGAGAAGUGAGAUGAUUUGGGGGCUUCCUGGGACCUGUGUACUCAGUUGAUAGGGGCUCGUUUUCAAUCCUGUGUUGUGUGCCUCCACAGGAAUUGAGGCAUCGGACCUGUCCAGUCUGCUGGAGCAGUUUGAGAAAUCAGAAGCCAAAAAGGAGUGUCCUCCUCCGGCUCCUGCUGACAGCUUGGCUGUAGGAAACUCAGGGUAAGUAUGGAGACAUGAGCGAGUUACCCUACAGCUGUUAGUCAGCAGCCGGCUGACACUCCAGGACUGUCAACUGGAUGCCUCUGUUGCAGGGACGCUGUAGUCAGCUCUAGAGUCUUUCCCUGUUUCCCCACCCCUUACUCUGCCUAUCACUACUGGGCAGUGUCUUGGGUGGUGAGGUGAGAACGGGGCAUGUUCACUGCCUUCCAGCUGAUUCCAGUCGGGCUCCAAAUGUCCUGGAGGUGCCUUUUAUCUCCUGGCAAGUCAUACCUUUGGGGAUUUCUUUCUUUCAUUUAAUAACACUUCAAGUUUGCUCAGUGCUGGUAAUGGUGUAACUUAAAGUGGAGGAAGAUGUUAAUGGCUAGGAGUCAUUUUUCAUGUUCAUGGUCCUCCAUCCUGUUCUGCCAAGCAUGUUCCCCUCCACAUUGAUUUCAGGUUGGUGUGAGCUGGGCAGGUGAGACUCGAUGUGAAGGAGGUGGGGGGUAUUCAAGGUCAUGGCCAGCCUGCCUCUUGGAAUUGGGCAGGGC
rnacentral:sRNA from 1 species